rfam:Pelodiscus sinensis unplaced genomic scaffold scaffold2059, whole genome shotgun sequence.
GCAUUGGUGGUAUAGUGGUGAGCAUAGUUGCCUUCCCAACACUUGACCUGGGUUCAAUUCCCAGCCAAUGCA